AACGCACAUUGCGCCCCGUGGCAUCCCGCGGGGCAUGCCUGUCCGAGCGUCGUCUCCUCCCUCAAGCAUCGGCUUGGUGUUGGGUUCCGCCGCCCCGCGGCUAGCCCCAAGGACAGUGGCGGUGCCGCCUGGCCCUCAGCGUAGUACAGUGCUCGCUCGAGGGCCCGUCGGGUGCCUGCCAGACCUCAACCCCUCUGGUUGACCUCGGAUCAGGUAGGGAUACCCGCUGAACUUAA
rnacentral:misc_RNA from 1 species